CAGGUAAUAUCUAGUGUUUCGUCUAAUAUAUUGUAAGAAAAAGUAGCCUGUAUGCCAUUAAAGACAAUACAAAUGUUAAUCCCAGAUCCAUACUCAGUUUGAGGUCAGACUUGCCUCAUACGUCCCUGUGUCAAAAGAAAACGUGAAAACAAGGAAAAACUGAACACCUCAAUCAAUGUAAAGAACGUAAGGAUUGUAGUUUAAGUUGAAUGUAAUUUAACAGUGAAAUAUCAUUUGUCUACAGAAGGGGGUUUGUUUUAUUUAAUUGAAAAAGGGACAAUUUGCCUACAUGUAGAUAUUUUAGUUCUUAACUAAAAUGGAUAAUUAAGAAAACCCUAAGUACACAUAUGGAGUAGCAUUCCGACAGUUAUUACUUUUGUAUACAAUGUGUGUUACUUUACAGUAAUGAUUGAAGAUUCGUUCAAGUGAACUAAACAGUGUAUACAUGCUUGGAACUUAUCACAUGAGACCAUCUAGAAUGGACAGUUAAUGCAAACAAAGAACAUCUUCAAGAAGAAUGAUAAAAUGUUAACACUUUUAUCUGACCUUGUAAUUAUGAGGGGAUUUGCAAAUAAGAAUCUAAACAAGAAGAAAAUAUGAAAAAGACAUUUGUACCAAUACCUUUGAUGUCAACAUGGUAGUGCUGGGUUGCCGUAUCCAACUUUGUAUUCUUAGAAGCCCUUAUGAACAGUUUUGAAAAAUUUCUGUGAAGAAUCGUAGACACUCUUGAGACAGCAAAGAGUAUGGCAAUAACCAAUGGAACAUAAGUAAAGAUGGAAUUUCAUGCAGCAAAGAGAAAUGGUGUGCCACACUGGGCAUAGCUUGAGUAGGAGAUUUCAGAGCCUGCCCCCACAGUGGCAUUAUUGCUCAAAAAAGGCCAGAUCUCCUGUGGACAGAGCACACGAGUUUAUGGUGGCCAUUCCUAUUAAACCACUGUACAUAAUGGCCUGAGUUCUGUUCCAGUUGCCACAGGUGGUGGCUCACUGCUACCUGCUACUCCAGCUCCAGGGCAAUGUGACACAUCUGGCCUCAGGCACUUGAAUGAAAUGCAUGUGCUCCUGGUGACAGACUUAAUGCACCUAACCUAAGUAGCACUGAAAGAGUGUAAUAAAAGGAUUGCCUGAAAAAAAUAGGUAAUUACUACAUUGGAUAGCAAGCAUUUUUACAACCUUCACAGUGCUCUGAAAGGUCUCAGAAGGUGUGUGGAAAUAGUCUUGCCAAUCAUUAAAAAUGAACUCAGCUAAUUGGAUAAAGACUUUGAAGACAAUCACUUCAUAUUUACAAAGACUUUCUGAUUGUUGUUGGACAAACCCAAGAACUGGAUACAGUGUUGCAUGGAUAAAAAUUAUAUUGUAGAAUUGAUAUUGGCUUCAUCUCAGUGAAAACUAUCCCCUGUAUGUAGUCAAAUUAUUUCUCAGAGUUGAUGCUUACAAUUAUUUGUCAAGUUGGACCAAAUGCACUUUUACUUUGAUUUGCAACACAUUUAAUAGAUUAAGUAGGAGAGAAUAGAUUUCUUUAAAAUUGAGCCUUCCUAUACAACCUCAAGGUGGUGAUCAUCUUGACUAACACAUCAAAUGUAUCUUCUGAAGAGUUUCAUCUACAGAGUCUCCUAAGUACAGUUUUAUAUUUAUUGUUUCUGCAGUAUUAUUUUGCUUUUAUUAUCUCACAACUUUUAAGAAAGACUGUCAAGGAAUAGAAAUGACCUGCUUUUGGCAAGUAAUUGCCUGGAAUGUUCAGUACUUCUGGUUUCAGUCUAUCUUGUACUCCUAUAUUAUAUGUUGCCAAUUAUCUUUUUUAUUUUACUUUGCAAAUAGAAGAGAGUUUUAUGUAUAGGUGGUAUAGGGAAUGAUACUUCAUAUUGUAACAAAGUUUUCUGACUGAGUCUCCCUGUAUUUCAGUUUUGUUAUCAUUUGUGAGAUGGUUUCCUCCUGCUUUGAACAAGAAACUCAAAAUUUUAGGCAGGUCGCAAAAAAAAAAAAAAAAAAAAAAAAGAUUUUUAUGUCAUGCGUAUUGGUAUUCUCUAUAGGAAAUUUUCUGGUUGUUGUUUUUGCUGAUAUUACUGGCUUCUAUCUGGUGCAGUAAUAUGAAUCUCUGUGGCUUGCUUUUUCUCCAAUAUCCAGAUUUCAGUGUCAUUGUAACUGUGAGUGUGUAGAGAAUUGUGCUUGCAUUGAUAAGGAGAGCUGAGGUGAUACUAUCUUGUAUAUUGUGUGGCAUAAUCAUUUUAUUGGUAUCACCUUUCAGGUUAGAGUAUCAAUGAGAUUUUAGUUUAUUUCAUAAUAUGGUGUUUUUCUCUUUCUGGUUAAACUAAGUAAGGUCAAUAUGAAGUACUGUUUAUUUUAUCUAUUAUUUGUCUGUUUCUAGACCAUAAGCCAUACUGUUCAUUAAAAAAGUACUGUCAGCAUUUCUCAGCCCAUUUCAAUAACUGUUAAGAGUAAAAAUAAUUGCUAGGAGUUUUUAAAGUGUGUAGGCAUGAAUGCCUGUAUGUGAGUGUGUGCCUGACAGAUGUCUGUAGAGGUCAGAAAUGAAAGUUAGAUCCCCUGGAUCUGAAGUUUCAGGUUAGCCAUGAUCACUCGGCCCCAGAUAUUUUAAGAUUGUGUAAAAAUUCUUUUCUCGAAGAAUUUUGUCGUUACUAACAUUAUUUAAUAGGGGCCAGCAAUAUGAAUCAAUGGAAAAAGGGGUUCUCCAUCCAAUCCUGGCAACUCCUAUUGGAUCACUGUAACCCAGGUUAUAUGUGGGAUAGGAUAUAGCAGUGAACAGACAACUUAAUAAAAUUGUUUUAAGUCUCAUAAAUUUGUAGUACAACCCAUGUGUUGUUACCUAUUAUAUUAUUACAUUUUAUAUUUCCAUUUUAGCUAG